UUUUAAUGGUGUUGAUCAGUGUAAUGAAGAUUGCAUAAUUUUUAUGUUUUAAUUCUGUCUAUUGGUUUUCAAAAUGAAAGACUUUGAUUUUGUAAGUGCACUUUUAUCUCCUGAAAGAUUCUUUUCUAGUGUUUAGUUUAUAUUUUAAGGCUGUUUGCAAACUCGAGGUGAAAACAGUUCUAUUACAAUUUGGUAAGGACAUGACAUUGCAUAUCUGAUUUUAAAAUGUACUUUGCUGGCAACGUGUAAUUUUCUGAAAUGUCUUAGUAAGACUGUUGUUUGCAAUCAAAAGGUCUGUGCUUCAAAUACAGGGUAAUGCAUGUUUUUUGUCCAAAUUUAUGGCGAUUCAGACAUUGUUCUAUGUAAAUAUGGGGUUUGCUUGAAGGUUCAGUCUAUUUUUAUGUCCCUCACUAUAGUAGUGGGGGACAUAUUGUUUUUGUCCUGUCUGUUGGUUGGUUGGUUGGUUGAUCUGUUUACGCCAACUUUAACAUUUGCAAUAACUUUUGCAAUAUUGAAGAUAGCAACUUGAUAUUUGGCAUGCAAAUGUAUCUCAUAGAGCUGCACAUUUUAAUUUUCUGAAAGGUCAAGGUCAUCCUUCAAGGUCAGAGGUCAAAUAUAUGUGGCCAAAAUCGCUCAUUUUAUGAAUACUUUUGCAAUAUUGAAGAUAGCAACUUCAUAUUUGGCAAGCAUGUGUAUCUCAUGGAGCUGCACAUUUUGAGUGGUGAAAGGUCAAGGUCAUAAUUCAAUGUCAUAGGUCGAAUAUAUGGCUUCAAAGCGGCGCAGUAAGGGGGAUUGUGUUUUACGAACACAGCUCUUGUUGUUAACUGCCUUUUUAGUCCCUUACCAGUGUUUCACUAAAGUCCGUGUACUUUGGACUCAUUUCAAGUUGACAUUUGAAGCUUUUACUUUGUAUGAUUCUAAAUAUGUGUCAAUGCUGUCGGUUGAAUUUUGAAAUAUGAAGUUUUCCAUUUUUUGUAGAUUAAAUAAUUUGUAAAAUGUUGCAGUUUCGUCAAUCAGUUUUAUAAGAUAUUGAGCUUUAGUUAUGAUGCAGAUUGUAAGAUUCUUAAUAUCUUUCAAUAUUGUGGAUAAGUUUUUGAGAUAUCAAGCUUUGAAUUUUAUGCAAAUUGUAUGAUUUAAAAUGUUUUAAUUUGUUGAUCAGUGUACUGAAGAUUGUAUACUUUUUAUAUGUUAUAAUUCUGUCUAUUGGUUUUCAAAAUGAAAGACUUUGAUUUUGUAAGUGCACUUUUAUCUCAUUAUGCCCCCCUUCGAAGAAGAGGGGGUAUAUUGCUUUGCUCAUGUCGGUCGGUCUGUCGGUAUGUCAGUCUGUCGGUCCGUCCACCAGGUGGUUGUCAGACGAUAACUCAAGAACGCUUGGGCCUAGGAUCAUGAAACUUCAUAAGGUACAUUGAUCAUGACUCGCAGAUGACCCCUAUUGAUUUUGAGGUCACUAGGUCAAAGGUCAAGGUCACGGUGACCCAAAAUAGUAAAAUGGUUUCCGGAUGGUAACUCAAAAAUUCAUACGCCUAGGAUCAUGAAACUUCAUGGCUAGAUUGAUCAUGACUCGCAGAUGACCCCUAUUGAUUUUGAGGUCACUAGGUCAAAGGUCAAGGUCACGGUGACCCGAAAUAGUAAAAUGGUUUUCGGAUAAUAACUCAAGAACGCAUAUGCCUAGGAUCAUGAAACUUCACAGGUAGAUUGAUCAUGACUCACAGAUGACCCUUAUUGAUUUUGAGGUCACAAGGUCAAGGUCACGGUGACCCGAAAUAGUAAAAUGAUUUUCGGAUGAUAACUCAAGAACGCUUUUGCCUAGGAUCAUGACACUUCAUAGGUAAAUUGAUCGUGACUCACAGAUGACCCCUAUUGAUUUUCGGGUCACUAGGUCAAAGGUCAAGGUCACAGUGACAAAAAACGUAUUCACACAAUGGCUGCCACUACAACAGACAGCCCAUAUGGGGGCAUGCAUGUUUUACAAACAGCCCUUGUUAAAGAUUCUUUUCUAGUGUUUAGUUUAUAUUUUAAGGCUGUUUGCAAACUCGAAGUGAAAACAGCUCUAGUACAAUUUGGUAAGGACAUGACAUUGCAUAUCUGAUUUAAAAAUGUACUUUGCUGGCAACGUGUAAUUUUCAGAAAUGUCUUAGUAAGUAAGACUGUUGUUUGCAAUCAAAAGGUCUGUGCUUCGAUUCCAGGAAAAUGCAUGUUUUUUGUCCAAAUUUAUGUCAAUUCAGACAGUGUUCUGUGUAAAUAUGGGGUUUGCUUGUAGGAUCAGUCUAUUUUUAUGUCCCCCACUAUAGUAGUGGGGGACAUGUUGUUUUUGCUCUGUCGGUCUGUUGGUUGGUUGGUUGGUCUGUUUAUGCCAACUUUAACAUUUUGCAAUAACUUGCAAUAUUGAAGGUAGCAACUUGAUAUUUGGCAUGCAAAUGCAUCUCCUGAAGCUGCACAUUUUGAUUGGUGAAAGGUCAAGGUCAUCCUUCAAGGUCAGAGGUCAAAUAUAUGUGGCCAAAAUCGCUCAUUUUAUGAAUACUUUUGCAAUAUUGAAGAUAGCAACUUGAUAUUUGGCAAGCAUGUGUAUCUCAUUGAGCGGCACAUUUUGAGUGGUGAAAGGUCAAGGUCAUCCUUCAAGGUCAGAGGUCAAAUAUAUGUGGCCCAAAUCGCUUAUUUUAUUAAUACCUUUGCAAUAGUGAAGAUAGCAACUUGAAAUUUGGCAUGCAUGUGUAUCUCAUGGAGCUGCAAAUUUUGAGUGUUGAAAGGUCAAAGUCAUCCUUCAAGGUCAGAGGUUAAAUAUAUGUGGCCCAAAUCGCUUAUUUUAUGAAUACUUGUGCACUAUUGAAGAUAGCAACUUGAUAUUUGGCAUGCAUAUGUAUCUCAUAGAGCUGCACAUUUUGAGUGGUGAAAGGUCAAGGUCAUCCUUCAAGGUCAAAUAUAUGGGUCAAAAUUGCUCAUGUUAUGUUACUUCUGCAAUAUUGAAGCUAGCAAUUUUAUAUUUGACAUGCAUGUGUAUCUCAUGGCGCUGCACAUUUUGAGUGGUGAAGGGUCAAGGUCAUCCUUCAAGGUCAAACGUUAUAUACGGGGACAUUGGGUUUCACAAACGCAUCUUGUUGUGUAUGUAAUUAAUUUUGCUUAAUUUUUGUGAUCCCCCACAAACAGCGGAGGGAUAUUAAUUUGGCAUUGUCCGUCUUUCCGUCUGUCCGUCCGGCACUUUUGUGUCCGAAACCAUAUCUUGGAAGUGCUUUGGCAGAUUUCAUUGAAACUUGGUAUGAGUAUAUAUAUAUGGAUAAGAGGAUGAUGCACGCCAAAUGGCAUUGUACAUCCUUGAAUAAUAGCGGAGUUAUGACCCUUUGUAUUUGAAAAAAAUGCUUUUUUUGUGUGUCCAGAGCCAUAACUUGUAUCCAGAAGUAUAAUGGCGGGGGAUAUCAAUUCAACGAAUUUGCUUAUUAAAUCAGUUUUUAUUUUCAUGAUAAUCAUUUAGUUCGUACUGCAACUUAUGAUGGAUUGUUACUACUAUCUCCAAUUAUUUGUUUGUCAUGGGUCCGUCACCAUUUAUCUCUUAUAUAAUACUUGAAUUGAGCAUUUCACAAUCUGACAAUCAUGCAUAUCAUUUAUUAGUUUCAUAAUAAAACGUCUGACAAGGGUCAGAUAAUUUUAA